rnacentral:hammerhead_ribozyme from 1 species
AUCCGACUGAUGAGUCUCAAAUAGAAUGAAACGCGCGUCUAAACUGGAU